UUAUUUUGGCAGAUUAGUGUAAUUGAUUUAGAAUCAUUAAAUGUAAUUUUUUUACAAAUAACAC
rnacentral:tRNA from 1 species